rnacentral:rRNA from 1 species
GCAAGUCGAGCGGAUGACAGGGAGCUUGCUCCUGGAUUCAGCGGCGGACGGGUGAGUAAUGCCUAGGAAUCUGCCUGGUAGUGGGGGACAACGUUUCGAAAGGAACGCUAAUACCGCAUACGUCCUACGGGAGAAAGCAGGGGACCUUCGGGCCUUGCGCUAUCAGAUGAGCCUAGGUCGGAUUAGCUUGUUGGUGAGGUAAUGGCUCACCAAGGCGACGAUCCGUAACUGGUCUGAGAGGAUGAUCAGUCACACUGGAACUGAGACACGGUCCAGACUCCUACGGGAGGCAGCAGUGGGGAAUAUUGGACAAUGGGCGAAAGCCUGAUCCAGCCAUGCCGCGUGUGUGAAGAAGGUCUUCGGAUUGUAAAGCACUUUAAGUUGGGAGGAAGGGUUGUAGAUUAAUACUCUGCAAUUUUGACGUUACCGACAGAAUAAGCACCGGCUAACUCUGUGCCAGCAGCCGCGGUAAUACAGAGGGUGCAAGCGUUAAUCGGAAUUACUGGGCGUAAAGCGCGCGUAGGUGGUUUGUUAAGUUGGAUGUGAAAGCCCCGGGCUCAACCUGGGAACUGCAUCCAAAACUGGCAAGCUAGAGUACGGUAGAGGGUGGUGGAAUUUCCUGUGUAGCGGUGAAAUGCGUAGAUAUAGGAAGGAACACCAGUGGCGAAGGCGACCACCUGGACUGAUACUG